rnacentral:misc_RNA from 1 species
AGAAAGGGGAACAAUAGACGAGAUAACGAAUGGCAUAAUUAUUGGCAGACGGAUAUUUGAAUGAAAUUCAACCAAAAAUAUAUACCAUUCACUAAUUGUAACGCAAUUCAAGAAAUUACUCAAUUCCAGAGAAGCUGAAUAUUGGCUGGCUUACAUGUAUAAGAUGAAUGUAUCAACUUAAUCUAUUUGUCAAGACAAACUGACUCGAUGAAAGACUGGAGGACAGUAACGUAGACAUUUGCUGCGAUGGAUAAUAUAUUUAACAGUUCAUCAGUUCAGCUUCGGAUGGUGGCCUGUGAAUUCCCCGCUCCCAAUGUACACACAGUGGUUUACCAGUUCUCGAUGGAGCCAGAAUCAUCAUUGUAGAUGAAGCCUUUGAUGCUAAGUACGCCGAGUCAUUGAUCACAGCCUGGCUACCAGUUUGGAAGGCAAAAGACUCUCGAAACAUAGAUUUGAUAUGUUUUUCUGGACCGAAGCAUUCCAAUAAAAUAUAUUCGGAGUCAUUAAACCUGCUUCAGCAGAAAAUUGAAGUCCAUGAUUUUUAUACUCUAGCUUUAGACAAAGCUGAUCCCUUCGAUGAUCAAAAGCUAUGGGAAUCUUCAAAAAUAGUUUCAUUGAAACAAAAUUCUACAGUUAUAAUUGACAGUUUAAGUUGUCUGAUUCUCUAUAAGGGACUGGCUGAAAGUUGCAGAUUUAUUGAAAAAUUAAGUGCAAAAGUAGCACAAAUAGUAUGCAUCUACCAAAGAGAUUUUGGGCAAACAAAAGUGCCUAGUAUCAAUACUCUGGGAACCAGCUAUGUACGAAUAGAGCAAGCACUCGGCGUAAAAUUAAACCAUAACUUAUCGUAUAAGACUCGAUCUGUACACUGCAAACCUGGAGGUGGUAUUUUGCAGCAAGUUGAAAUCGUCGAGCAGAAUAUCAAUUCCCAUGAGAUCAAAACUGAAAGAGACAAGGUUACCGAUGGAAAAAAUGCUGUGAUCAGAGCAUCAGAACCUGCUAAGAAAAUUCAAGCCUCAUUCAGAAUCGAAAUUAAUGAUCGUGAAAUGGAACAAAGAGAAGCUACACCUCUACCCUACACCAUUGCCACUUCACAACCAAAUGAAUCGAAAAUUCAUUAUGUACCUGACGAAGUCGACGAUCUCGACGAAGAAGAUCCAGAUGAUGAUUUGGACUUUUAAUGGAUGGAAUGAAACAGGGGUGAAUAUUGUUUACAUCUGUCGUAUAUAUUUCACUAAUUUAAAUUUGAUUUAAAUAAAAUAUAUAAUUAUAUAAUUAUUCAUCGUUAAAUCUUACUUUACUUUGGUGCCAUUAUAUUGUAGAAAGAUCAAACUGCGAUGGCUAAAUGACCACAAUUUUUUAGCCAAGUAUGGCACAUACGUAUCGUAACCUUUCUCUCCUUUGACCCUCAAGUUAUCACAAAGCCAUAUCAAAAUCUGAGAUACUUAACAGAUAAUAAUAUAAUACUGUGUCAAUGACAUUGGUAAUUGAAGAAUUAGUGUAACUAUCAGUGACGUAAAGACAUAAUCAAACGAAUGAAUCGUGGAUAAAGAUAUGCAUCAAUCGCAAUCUUCCAGAUUUCAGAUACAACUUCUACGUGACAAAUUAUAAUUUCAUGUCGUUCUGCGUUUACGAACAGCUUCAUAAAUUCGUGGAAGACACAUCAAAUAAUAAAAGAUUAGUUUGACUUAAAGAAAAGUUAUAACAAAAUAUUCUUUAUAUUUUUUCACUAUUCAUCUUCCACAGAUUAUAGAAUCACACGUCCCAAUUUGAAACAAAAAAUUCACGUGUAAUUCACGUAUGUGCUUAGAUUCUUCAUAUCAGUUGUUCGAAAUUUUAAUUCAAACUAACAAACUUAGCAUAUAUUUACACUCUAUUGUGAAAUUGUGCGAGUAACUGAGAUAUUUUUUAAUGGUUCAGUUGUUACUUAGCAGAUUAGGAACUGAAGAUGCCUUCACUUCAAGCAAACAUUAUACAAUGUUUACUAGUAAAAUGAUCAAUGAUAUAGACUAGUUUGAUGCAAAGAUUAGUUUCUGGCUUCCAAACUAUUCUUUGCAGAAAUGUAAAUAACUAUGUUACAUAUCAGCUGCAAUCGCGAACUCCGUUCUUUCAAUCCUAUCGUUGAGAGUAGAUACCUACAUACUCUAAGCAAUCCUAUACUAUAAUUUAGCACAGGUAUG